UGGGGAAUAUUGGACAAUGGGCGCAAGCCUGAUCCAGCAAUGCCGCGUGUGUGAAGAAGGCCCUCGGGUUGUAAAGCACUUUUAUCAGGAGCGAAAUCUGCAAGGCUAAUACCCUUGUAGUCUGACGGUACCUGAGGAAUAAGCACCGGCUAACUCCGUGCCAGCAGCCGCGGUAAUACGGAGGGUGCAAGCGUUAAUCGGAAUUACUGGGCGUAAAGCGUGUGUAGGCGGUUUGUUAAGUCUGUUGUGAAAGCCCCGGGCUCAACCUGGGAAUGGCAAUGGAUACUGGCAAGCUAGAGUGUGAUAGAGGAUGGUGGAAUUCCCGGUGUAGCGGUGAAAUGCGUAGAGAUCGGGAGGAACAUCAGUGGCGAAGGCGGCCAUCUGGAUCAACACUGACGCUGAGACACGAAAGCGUGGGGGAGCAAACAGGAUUAGAUACCCUGGUAGUCCACGCCCUAAACGAUGCGAACUGGAUGUUGGUCUCAACUCGGAGAUCAGUGUCGAAGCUAACGCGUUAAGUUCGCCGCCUGGGGAGUACGGUCGCAAGACUGAAACUUAAAUGAAUUGAC
rnacentral:rRNA from 1 species